CUUCUUUUCUUCUUAUCUUCUCUUCUGUUCUUCUUUUUUCUUUCUGUCGCUUCAAUUCCGAAGAAUUGAGUUUAUUUUCGUGAUUGUUUCAUAGUACGCCUGUUAACUUGGUGAAUCGAAAAGGAGGUGACAGUUUUGAGAGUUGAAUUAAUAGGUACUGAAAGAGAAAGAAAAGAUGAACUGAGUUAGGGUUCUAUUUGAGUUUAAGAGAUGAUGGAAUUGAUUAAUUAAAAGGGGGAUUUGAGUAAUUGGUGAUGCGAAACGAAAUGGGUUGGUGUUUAAUCGAAGUUCUGAAGUUGAUUCGGUGAUGAAUCGAUGAGCUAGGGUUUCUCAAGAUGAAAUGGAAGUUCGAUUGGUAAUGAAUAUGAAGAAUUAGAGAUGGGUUUAAUCUGAAUUAGGGUUUGAGGUUGAAGAGUAGCUUGAAUUCGGUAGUAGGGUUUGAUUUUGUUUUAAUGGAGAUUUGGGAAUUUAAUUAGGGUUUAAUUGAGAACUGGUGGUGUUGAUUCGAAGAUUGAUUCAAGUUCAGAGAAGCUUUGAGGUAAUUGUUCUUAUAAAAUUACUUCCAGUAGAUUAUUGAAUUUAUAAGUUUGUUCAUGAAUUUAGAAUCUGAAAGAUGUUUGGGGUUUGUAUGGAAGUUGUAUAGAUAUUUAAAAGGAAUUGUUAUAAACUGAGAUGAGUACAGGGUUUAAGUUUUAGAACAUGCAUUAAAGUGAACAGCCGAGAAGAGGUAAUAUGUUGUUAUUGCGACUUUGAAUGGAACUGUGAUUGUAGAUAAUAAUAAUAUAUUGAUUUUGAGAUUGUGGUAACUGGUGUUUUGUUAAUUGGAGUUAAGAAAGCAUAGAUGAUGGUAUUUCAGUAGUGAAUGGUUGUUGUGGAAUGCUGGUGAAAGGGUUAGCUGUGUUGCAGGUUCUAUAAGAGUUGUAAAUUGAAUUGUUAGAAGUGUUGCAGGUGCACUGUUUGGUUACUGGUACAAGAUGUGGUUGGUUAAUUGGUGGGCUUAUGUUGAGUUGCAGAUAUAGCUAAUUGGUUGUGUUGUUGUUCAAGAAGAACUGAAGAGAGAUUUCAGUUGAAGAAGUAUUAUGGUGAUGGAAGGGGAAUGGUGAACUGAGUAUGAACUGCAAGUAUAGCCAAUGGCUCUGAGUUACAGUUGUAGUUAACUGAAAUGUUAAUAACAGGUGAGAGUGUAAUUGAGGAUAAGGAAGAGGAUAUAGUGGUGAAUGCAUUGAGAUGAACUCAAUUGAAGUAGUUGAGAUUUGUGUGUCUUGGAGUUUGUGGUUGUAUAAGAUGAGUUGGUUUAUAUGUUUUGAGAGUGAUUCGAAAUUGAGAAUGAGAGUUAGAUGAAGGUGUUGAUUGAAUCUUUAAGGGAAAGCUUGUUACUUCUUUUGCAGUUAGUCUAUAUUAACAACGAUCGAUUCAAAGGAUGAACCAGUGGAUCGCGGAUCUCGAGAUAGGCGUGGCUUCUCAUCAAAAGAGUUUCAGAGAUAGAUCAGAGUUGCGCAGCGAAAGCUUCAAAGGGUUGAGUUCGUUAGAUAGUUAACUUCGGUUAUGUUUAUUAUGUUGCAUAUUAUGUUUGUAAAUUAAAUGACUAUUAUAUAUAUAUCAUUUGAGAGGAGUUCUUGUAUAUAAAUAUUUCUGAGCGGGGCUGAUUUUUGGGUUAAGUUUUGUAGCAGAUUUCUUAAUUGAAUGUUAAGUGAAUAAUUUAGAUU